UGAGGAAUAUUGGUCAAUGGACGAAAGUCUGAACCAGCCAUGCCGCGUGCAGGAUGACGGCUCUAUGAGUUGUAAGCUGCUUUUGUAUGAGGGUAAAGUUGGGUACGUGUACCCAUUUGAAAGUAUCAUACGAAUAAGGAUCGGCUAACUCCGUGCCAGCAGCCGCGGUAAUACGGAGGAUUCAAGCGUUAUCCGGAUUUAUUGGGUUUAAAGGGUGCGUAGGCGGUCUUUUAAGUCAGGGGGAAAGACGGUGGCUCAACCAUCGCAGUGCCUUUGAUACUGAUAGGCUUGAAUGAACUAGAGGUAGGCGGAAUGUGACAAGUAGCGGUGAAAUGCAUAGAUAUGUCACAGAACACCGAUUGCGGAGGCAGCUUACUAUGGUUAAAUUGACGCUGAUGCACGAAAGCGUGGGGAUCGAACA
rnacentral:rRNA from 1 species